UGGCGGCAGGCUACCAUGCACGUCGAACGGUAGCACAGAGAGCUUGCUCUCGGGUGACGAGUGGCGGACGGGUGAGUAAUGUCUGGGAAACUGCCUGAUGGAGGGGGAUAACUACUGGAAACGGUAGCUAAUACCGCAUAACGUCGCAAGACCAAAGAGGGGGACCUUCGGGCCUCUUGCCAUCAGAUGUGCCCAGAUGGGAUUAGCUAGUAGGUGGGGUAACGGCUCACCUAGGCGACGAUCCCUAGCUGGUCUGAGAGGAUGACCAGCCACACUGGAACUGAGACACGGUCCAGACUCCUACGGGAGGCAGCAGUGGGGAAUAUUGCACAAUGGGCGCAAGCCUGAUGCAGCCAUGCCGCGUGUAUGAAGAAGGCCUUCGGGUUGUAAAGUACUUUCAGCGGGGAGGAAGGUGUUGUGGUUAAUAACCGCAGCAAUUGACGUUACCCGCAGAAGAAGCACCGGCUAACUCCGUGCCAGCAGCCGCGGUAAUACGGAGGGUGCAAGCGUUAAUCGGAAUUACUGGGCGUAAAGCGCACGCAGGCGGUCUGUCAAGUCGGAUGUGAAAUCCCCGGGCUCAACCUGGGAACUGCAUUCGAAACUGGCAGGCUGGAGUCUUGUAGAGGGGGGUAGAAUUCCAGGUGUAGCGGUGAAAUGCGUAGAGAUCUGGAGGAAUACCGGUGGCGAAGGCGGCCCCCUGGACAAAGACUGACGCUCAGGUGCGAAAGCGUGGGGAGCAAACAGGAUUAGAUACCCUGGUAGUCCACGCCGUAAACGAUGUCGAUUUGGAGGUUGUGCCCUUGAGGCGUGGCUUCCGGAGCUAACGCGUUAAAUCGACCGCCUGGGGAGUACGGCCGCAAGGUUAAAACUCAAAUGAAUUGACGGGGGCCCGCACAAGCGGUGGAGCAUGUGGUUUAAUUCGAUGCAACGCGAAGAACCUUACCUGGUCUUGACAUCCACAGAACUUACCAGAGAUGCUUUGGUGCCUUCGGGAACUGUGAGACAGGUGCUGCAUGGCUGUCGUCAGCUCGUGUUGUGAAAUGUUGGGUUAAGUCCCGCAACGAGCGCAACCCUUAUCCUUUGUUGCCAGCGGUUAGGCCGGGAACUCAAAGGAGACUGCCAGUGAUAAACUGGAAGAA
rnacentral:rRNA from 1 species